rnacentral:rRNA from 1 species
GAUGAACGCUAGCGGAAGGCUUAAUACAUGCAAGUCGAGCGGUAGGUGGCUUCGGCCAUUGAGAGCGGCGCACGGGUGAGUAACGCGUACAUGACCUGCCUGUCAGAAGGGGAUAGCCCUGGGAAACUGGGAUUAAUACCCUAUGGUAUUGAUAUUAUGAAUGAUAUCAAUUAAAGUUGAGGCGCUGACAGAUGGAUGUGCGUCUGAUUAGCUAGUUGGUAGGGUAACGGCCUACCAAGGCGACGAUCAGUAGGGGGCGUGAGAGCGUGGUCCCCCACACGGGUACUGAGACACGGACCCGACUCCUACGGGAGGCAGCAGUAAGGAAUAUUGGUCAAUGCCCGCAAGGGUGAACCAGCCAUUCCGCGUGGAGGAUGAAGGCCCUAUGGGUUGUAAACUUCUUUUAGAUGGGAAGAAAAUGCUAGAUGUAUCUGGUACUGACGGUACCAUCAGAAUAAGCACCGGCUAACUCCGUGCCAGCAGCCGCGGUAAA